rnacentral:rRNA from 1 species
CCUACGGGAGGCAGCAGUGGGGAAUAUUGGGCAAUGGGCGCAAGCCUGACCCAGCAACGCCGCGUGAAGGAAGAAGGCUUUCGGGUUGUAAACUUCUUUUAAGGGGGAAGAGCAGAAGACGGUACCCCUUGAAUAAGCCACGGCUAACUACGUGCCAUCAGCCGCGGUAAUACGUAGGUGGCAAGCGUUGUCCGGAUUUACUGGGUGUAAAGGGCGUGCAGCCGGAGAGACAAGUCAGAUGUGAAAUCCACGGGCUCAACCCGUGAACUGCAUUUGAAACUGUUUCCCUUGAGUGUCGGAGAGGUAAUCGGAAUUCCUUGUGUAGCGGUGAAAUGCGUAGAUAUAAGGAAGAACACCAGUGGCGAAGGCGGAUUACUGGACGAUAACUGACGGUGAGGCGCGAAAGCGUGGGGAGCAAACAGGAUUAGAUACCCCUGUAGUC